GAUGAAGAACGUAGCGAAAUGCGAUAAGUAGUGUGAAUUGCAGAAUUCAGUGAAUCAUCGAAUCUUUGAACGCACAUUGCGCCCCUUGGUACUCCAUGGGGCAUGCCUGUUCGAGCGUCAUUUACACCCUCAAGCUCUGCUUGGUGUUGGGCGUCUGUCCCGCUUCGUGCGCGGACUCGCCUCAAAUGCAUUGGCAGCGGUCUUGCCAGCUUCUCGCGCAGCACAUUGCGCUUCUAGAGGCUUUGGCGGAUCGGCGUCCAUCAAGUACACCCACAGUUUGACCUCGGAUCAGGUAGGGAUACCCGCUGAACUUAAGCAUAUCAAUAAGCGGAGGA
rnacentral:misc_RNA from 1 species